UGCACAGCCUUUCCUCUACAGGGAGCCAGGUUCUGCUGUUGUUCAGUGGUUACACAGCCUUUCCUCUACAGGGAGCCAGGUUCUGCUGUUGUUCAGUGGUUGCACAGCCUUUCCUCUACAGGGAGCCAGGUUCUGCUGUUGUUCAGUGGUUGCACAGCCUUUCCUCUACAGGGAGCCAGGUUCUGCUGUUGUUCAGUGGUUGCACAGCCUUUCCUCUACAGGGAGCCAGGUUCUGCUGUUGUACAGUGGUUGCACAGCCUUUCCUCUACAGGGAGCCAGGUUCUGCUGUUGUUCAGUGGUUGCACAGCCUUUCCUCUACAGGGAGCCAGAU